rnacentral:tRNA from 1 species
CGGGGCGUAGCUCAGCCUGGUAGAGCGCUUGCUUCGGGAGCAAGAGGCCCCGAGUUCAAAUCUCGGCGCCCCGA